ncrna:unclassified sequences freshwater-2 RNA
GACUUCAUAGUCGGAGUCUUAUGCAGUAAUAACCCACUGCGUACCGGAUAGAACCCGGAUUGGACUUCUAAAAUAGGAGAAAAAAAAUG